rnacentral:rRNA from 1 species
CGCUGGCGGCAGGCUUAACACAUGCAAGUCGAACGGUAGCAGGAGGAAGCUUGCUUUCUUGCUGACGAGUGGCGGACGGGUGAGUAAUGCUUGGGAAUCUGGCUUAUGGAGGGGGAUAACGACGGGAAACUGUCGCUAAUACCGCGUAGUAUCGGAAGAUGAAAGUGCGGGACUGUAAGGCCGCAUGCCAUGAGAUGAGCCUAAGUGGGAUUAGGUAGUUGGUGGGGUAAAGGCCUACCAAGCCUGCGAUCUCUAGCUGGUCUGAGAGGAUGACCAGCCACACUGGAACUGAGACACGGUCCAGACUCCUACGGGAGGCAGCAGUGGGGAAUAUUGCGCAAUGGGGGCAACCCUGACGCAGCCAUGCCGCGUGAAUGAAGAAGGCCUUCGGGUUGUAAAGUUCUUUCGGUAUUGAGGAAGGUUGAUGUGUUAAUAGUACAUCAAAUUGACGUUAAAUACAGAAGAAGCACCGGCUAACUCCGUGCCAGCAGCCGCGGUAAUACGGAGGGUGCGAGCGUUAAUCGGAAUAACUGGGCGUAAAGGGCACGCAGGCGGUUAUUUAAGUGAGGUGUGAAAGCCCCGGGC